rnacentral:rRNA from 1 species
UACGUAGGGGGCUAGCGUUGUCCGGAGUUACUGGGCGUAAAGCGCACGCAGGCGGUCUGCUAAGUUUGGAGUGACAGUUGGUGGCUCAACCACCAAAGUGCUUUGAAAACUGACAGACUUGAGGGCUUCAGAGGGACACGGAAUUCCGGGUGGAGUGGUGAAGUGCGUAGAUAUCUGGAGGAACACCGGUGGCGAAGGCGGCAUCCUGGACCAACACUGACGCUGAGGAGCGAAAGCCAGGGGAGCAAACGGG